rnacentral:rRNA from 1 species
AUUGAACGCUGGCGGCAGGCCUAACACAUGCAAGUCGAGCGGAUGAAGGGAGCUUGCUCCUGGAUUCAGCGGCGGACGGGUGAGUAAUGCCUAGGAAUCUGCCUGGCAGUGGGGGAUAACGUCCGGAAACGGGCGCUAAUACCGCAUACGUCCUGCGGGAGAAAGUGGGGGAUCUUCGGAACUCACGCUAUCAGAUGAGCCUAGGUCGGAUUAGCUAGUUGGUGGGGUAAAGGCCUACCAAGCCGACGAUCCGUAACUGGUCUGAGAGGAUGAUCAGUCACACUGGAACUGAGACACGGUCCAGACUCCUACGGGAGGCAGCAGUGGGGAAUAUUGGACAAUGGGCGAAAGCCUGAUCCAGCCAGGCCGCGUGUGUGAAGAAGGUCUUCGGAUUGUAAAGCACUUUAAGUUGGGAGGAAGGGCAGUAAGUUAAUACCUUGCUGUUUUGACGUUACCAACAGAAUAAGCACCGGCUAACUUCGUG